UACGGAGGGAGCUAGCGUUAUUCGGAAUUACUGGGCGUAAAGCGUACGUAGGCGGCUUUGUAAGUAAGAGGUGAAAGCCCGGAGCUCAACUCCGGAACUGCCUUUUAGACUGCAUCGCUUGAAUCCAGGAGAGGUGAGUGGAAUUCCGAGUGUAGAGGUGAAAUUCGUAGAUAUCCGGAGGAACACCGGUGGCGAAGGCGGCUUCCUGGACCGAUACUGACGCUGAGGCGCGAAAGCUAGGGGAGCAAACGGG
rnacentral:rRNA from 1 species